AUUGAACGCUGGCGGCCGGCCUAACACAUGCAAGUCGAGCGGAGCGGCGGACGGGCGAGUAAGGCCUAGGAAUCUGCCUGGUAGUGGGGGAUAACGUCCGGAAACGGGCGCUAAUCCCGCAUACUAUCAGAUGAGCCUAGGUCGGAUUAGCUAGUUGGUGGGGUAAAGGCCUACCAAGGCGACGAUCCGUAACUGGUCUGAGAGGAUGAUCAGCCACACUGGAACUGAGACACGGUCCAGACUCCUACGGGAGGCAGCAGUGGGGAAUAUUGGGCAAUGGGCGAAAGCCUGAUCCAGCCAUGCCGCGUGUGUGAAGAAGGUCUUCGGAUUGUAAAGCUCUGUAAGUUGGGAAGCGUUACCUACAGAAUAAGCACCGGCUAACUUCGUGCCAGCAGCCGCGGUAAUAC
rnacentral:rRNA from 1 species